rnacentral:rRNA from 1 species
UACAGGGGGUGCAACCGUUGCUCGGAAUCAUUGGGCGUAAAGCGCACGUAGGCGGUUUGUUAUGUCGGAUGUGAAAGCCCUUGGCUCAACUGAGGAAGUGCAUCCGAAACUGGCAAGCUAGAGUACUAAAGAGGGUCGCGGAAUUCCCGGUGUAGAGGUGAAAUUCGUAGAUAUCGGGAGGAACACCGGUGGCGAAGGCGGCGACCUGGGUAGAUACUGACGCUGAGGUGCGAAAGCGUGGGGAGCAAACAGG